rnacentral:misc_RNA from 1 species
ACCAGAGGAGCCGACGCCACCCAGCGGAAAAGACGGGAAAGAAAGAAGCGGGGAGCUACCGCCUAACCAAGUGUGCAGCAAACAAUGACACGGCCUACAGGCCGAAAUGGGCCAAAAGGAGAGCCUCCAUGAAGGGCGACACCAUCGGCGACGUCUUCGGCGUGGACGCACCGGAACCAGAAGACGACGCAGAGCAAUUUUCAGGCUACGAGGAAGACGCCGCCCCGUAUCCUGACGAUCAGGUCGACGAGCAGGGCGACGACAGAGCGCCCUCGGCGCCUCCGAAUGAGCAGCGGCAGGAGUCUGCAGAGAAG